CUCCAUAUAAGAGAGGGUAACAUUCCACACCAAUAAUAUCAACAGUGCGCGCGGAUCAUGAUAUUCCAUUUGUGAGCUUGGACACCACGCCAAUAUUAUGUAACAAAAGCACCAUCCCAAAUACUUAUGCACAUUUAAAUAUCUGGAGUUUUUUAGUAUCACUCCAAUGGCCAUUAAAGUGCAAGCUGCCAUGCCCUGUCCAGGCAAGGCCUACUUUAAAAAUUCACCUUGCUACUUUCAACUAAAACCCAAAUUCUCUAAUGUGACAGUGUUAUUUUUCCAUACCCCCACUUAGUGAG